rnacentral:lncRNA from 1 species
UCGAUCUUACCAUCCUCCACCUCAACUCCGAAAAGACUACAUUUUUUAAAAUUCACAGCCAACCCUGACAGUAACUGAAACACUCUGAGGAUCCUUUUUAUUGCCACUGCGUUUCUUUCUUCAUCUUCAACCAAGAAGACCGUGUCGUCAGCAUAUUGGAGAUGCGAGAUUGCAAUACAGUCGUUUCCCACCUUAGCCGGCUGUAUCAGAUCCUUCUCCACGGCUCUUGUGAUCAAAGAAUGUAGCCCCU